UGGGGAAUAUUGGACAAUGGGGGCAACCCUGAUCCAGCCAUGCCGCGUGAGUGAUGAAGGGCCUUCGGGUUGUAAACGUCUCGUUUUAGGCGGGGACCUGAUGAUGACGGUACCCGCAGAAUAAGCCCCGGCUAACUUCGUGCCAGCAGCCGCGGUAAGACGAAGGGGGCUAGCGUUGUUCGGAAUUACUGGGCGUAAAGCGAGUGUAGGCGGUUGCCGUAGUCAGGUGCGAAAGCCUUGAGCUCAACUCAAGAAAUGCACUUGAUACUGGGUGACUAGAGGACCGGAGAGGAUAGUGGAAUUCCCAGUGUAGUGGUGAAAUACGUAGAGAUUGGGAAGAACACCAGUGGCGAAGGCGGCUAUCUGGACGGUUACUGACGCUAAGACUCGAAAGCGUGGGGAGCAAACAGGAUUAGAUACCCUGGUAGUCCACGCCGUAAACGAUGGGUGCUAGACGUUGGCGAGCUUGUCGUCAGUGUCGCAGCUAA
rnacentral:rRNA from 1 species